GAAUGGCCUCCCUUUGAAUAUAUGAUUUUAGCCACCAUCAUAGCGAAUUGCAUCGUCCUCGCACUGGAGCAGCAUCUGCCUGAUGAUGACAAGACCCCGAUGUCUGAACGGCUGGAUGACACAGAACCAUACUUCAUUGGAAUUUUUUGUUUCGAGGCUGGAAUUAAAAUCAUUGCCCUUGGGUUUGCCUUCCACAAAGGCUCCUACUUGAGGAAUGGCUGGAAUGUCAUGGACUUUGUGGUGGUGCUAACGGGCAUCUUGGCGACAGUUGGGACGGAGUUUGACCUACGGACGCUGAGGGCAGUUCGAGUGCUGCGGCCGCUCAAGCUGGUGUCUGGAAUCCCAAGUUUACAAGUCGUCCUGAAGUCGAUCAUGAAGGCGAUGAUCCCUUUGCUGCAGAUCGGCCUCCUCCUAUUUUUUGCAAUCCUUAUUUUUGCAAUCAUAGGGUUAGAAUUUUAUAUGGGAAAAUUUCAUACCACCUGCUUUGAAGAGGGGACAGAUGACAUUCAGGGUGAGUCUCCGGCUCCAUGUGGGACAGAAGAGCCCGCCCGCACCUGCCCCAAUGGGACCAAAUGUCAGCCCUACUGGGAAGGGCCCAACAACGGGAUCACUCAGUUCGACAACAUCCUGUUUGCAGUGCUGACUGUUUUCCAGUGCAUAACCAUGGAAGGGUGGACUGAUCUCCUCUACAAUAGCAACGAUGCCUCAGGGAACACUUGGAACUGGUUGUACUUCAUCCCCCUCAUCAUCAUCGGCUCCUUUUUUAUGCUGAACCUUGUGCUGGGUGUGCUGUCAGGGGAGUUUGCCAAAGAAAGGGAACGGGUGGAGAACCGGCGGGCUUUUCUGAAGCUGAGGCGGCAACAACAGAUUGAACGUGAGCUCAAUGGGUACAUGGAGUGGAUCUCAAAAGCAGGUGAGGCCCUUUCAUCCUGGGGCCCAGGGAUGGAGAUCCCAGGCCACGGAGUACAAAGAGAGUCAUGCAGUUUGGAGAAGGCUAAGCUGGGAGGGUUAUGAUGGGAGGAGAAAGAGAACCUGAAUUGGUAGUCCCAAAUUUUAUCAACAAGAAUCCAGAGUCUGAUAUGAAAAAGUCUAGGAUGAAGCCAGGAUCUGACAUCACCUAACUUGAAUUCUGAAAUCAGACGCUGGUUUACAUCCCAGCCCUGCCGCUUUUUACCCAUGCACCACACAUCCCUGUACCUCCGUUUCCUCAGCUGUUACAUGGAGGCGAUGAUAGUGCCUAUGUCAUAGUACUAUUGGAGUAUUUAGUAAAAUAAUCUCAGCUAAGUCACUUGGGGAGAGAAGUGCCUGAUACACGGUAGGCACAUAUUUAUUUGUUCAGCUAUUUAACAAACAUUUAGGGAGCACCUGCUGUGUGCCAGGCACUGAUCUAAGCACUGAGGAUAUGGGAGUAAACAAUACACACCAAAUCCCUGCCCUCAGAGCUCUGAUAUUCUAGUGAGAGAGAUAAAGCAAACAAAUACGUGUCAUGUUGGGAACUCCCAAAUUCAGAGAAGGAAGAUAAAACAGACUAGGAAGAUAAAACAGAGUAGGAAGUUGGCCGGGCGCGGUGGCUCACGCCUGUAAUCCCAGCACUUUGGGAGGCUAAGGCGGGCAGGUUUCCUGAGGUCAGGCAUUCGAGACCAGCCUGGCC
rnacentral:sRNA from 1 species